GAAAAACAAGUAAGCCUCAUUUUACAGCAGCCACCCAAAUCAUUUAUUGUUCACUCAAAAAUCAGUUAACAGCCUACCUUUAAAGAGCCAAUAGACAGAUGGAAGGCAGUUUAAGAGAAAACCCAAGGAAACAACACCUUUCUUUUUAAAAAGCAACCAAAUACACGCUAAGGACAAAACUAAACAAGCAAUAAGAAGAAACCAAGGGAAUAAGAGAGAAAACAGACAACGCAGUCCAUUCUCUAUUCCGUUCUAAAAGUUUUACAACAUGCAAGUGGACUAAGUCUCCGGAAUUUUAUCCAGAAAAUCUUAGAGGGCUAUUCCAGGCCUAACAAUCUGACUAAAAGUUAUGGUAAAAAGAUGUUAAAAAAGGCUUUGUCUUCCCAAGAAAAUUUCCAGAAUUAGCAUUUAAGUACUAACCUGACUGGAAGCACUGGGAUCUUCAGAAACUGAAGAAGGCAUUUCGAAGGGAGCAGGCCAUGAAGCCCC